rnacentral:rRNA from 1 species
UUACAGGAGGCAGCAGUAAGGAAUUUUGGACAAUGGGCGAAAGCCUGAUCCAGCCAUGCCGCGUGCAGGAUGAAGGCCUUCGGGUUGUAAACUGCUUUUGUACGGAACGAAAAGACUCUGGUUAAUACCUGGGGUCCAUGACGGUACCGUAAGAAUAAGCACUGGCUAACUACGUGCCAGCAGCCGCGGUAAUACGUAGGGUGCAAGCGUUAAUCGGAAUUACUGGGCGUAAAGCGUGCGCAGGCGGUUAUAUAAGACAGAUGUGAAAUCCCCGGGCUCAACCUGGGAACUGCAUUUGUGACUGUAUAGCUAGAGUACGGCAGAGGGGGAUGGAAUUCCGCGUGUAGCAGUGAGAUGCGUAGAUAUGCGGAGGAACACCGAUGGCGAAGGCAAUCCCCUGGGCCUGUACUGACGCUCAUGCACGAAAGCGUGGGGAGCAAACAGGAUUAGAAACCCCGGUAGUCC